rnacentral:rRNA from 1 species
GAUGAACGCUGGCGGCGUGCCUAACACAUGCAAGUCGAACGGAGAUUACGGACGGAAGUUUUCGGAUGGAAGACUGUAAUUGUUAGUGGCGGACGGGUGAGUAACGCGUGGGUAACGUGCACCAUACAGGGGGAUAGCAGCUGGAAACGGCUGGUAAGACCGCAUAAGUCGGUUAAAUCGCAUGAUUUGAUGGGGAAAUGAGCAAUCAGGUAUAGGAUGGGCUCGCAUCCGAUUUGCCAGUUGGCAGGGUAAAAGCCUACCAAAGCGACGAUCGCGAGCCGGGCUGAGAGGCCGGGCCGCCACAGUGGGACUGAGACACGGCCCACACUCCUACGGAAGGGAGCAGAGGGGGAUAUUGCACGAGGGAGGAAGCUCUGAUGCAGCGACGCCGGGUGAGUGAAGAAGUAGGUCGGUAUGUGCAGCUGUAUCAGCAGGGGAGAUGAUGACGGUACCUGACUAAGAAGCCCCGGCUAACUACGUG